CUGAAGGCCUGGAGGAGGGAGAUUUCUGUUCAGUUCUGGAAAAUUAAGACCAACUCUGGGCAAAAUAGUGAAGCAAAGGAAGGAAAGAAAAGGGAAGAAGAAAGGAACAUGGAUUGAGAAGGCCUGCUGUGUUCCAGCUUCGCUGCAAUUUCGACAUGUCAUUAACCAUGGAGGACUGAGCUGAAGCCGUAAGUACUGAUCAGAAGUUCUUGUUCUCAUAACACCCUUAUUGGAACAUUUCAACUUGGAAGUUGAUCUAAUGUGUUGAUCCUGGACACAUCUUAACACUUC
rnacentral:lncRNA from 1 species